UACGAGUGGUGCAAACGUUAUUCGGAAUUACUGGGCUUAAAGGGUGCGUAGGCUGCUAUGAAGGUCUGAUGUGAAAUACCACGGCUCAACCGUGGAACGGCGUUGGAAACCACAUAGCUGGAGUGAGACAGAGGUAAGCGGAACUGAUGGUGGAGCGGUGAAAUGCGUUGAUAUCAUCAGGAACACCGGUGGCGAAAGCGGCUUACUGGGUCUUUACUGACGCUGAUGCACGAAAGCCAGGGGAGCAAACGGG
rnacentral:rRNA from 1 species